rnacentral:lncRNA from 1 species
UUUCCAAAUAAAAUUACAUACUAUUAAAGCUUGUUACAACACAUAUUUGAGAAAAAGAAUUCCAAUGUCAAAUGGGAAACGAAACAUGUAGUAUUAACAUUAUGCCAUUAUGGUACCAAAGUACUACUAAACGAGCUACAACUUGUGCGUCUAAUCAUGUGAUUGUAGUUCAUAAUAUAAUUAUGACAAUCGAGAAUAAAACCAUGAAUUCUAAUAUUCUCA